CCUACGGGAGGCAGCAGUGGGGAAUUUUGGACAAUGGGCGCAAGCCUGAUCCAGCAAUGCCGCGUGCAGGAUGAAGGCCUUCGGGUUGUAAACUGCUUUUGUACGGAACGAAAAAGUCUGCCCUAAUACGGUGGGCCCAUGACGGUACCGUAAGAAUAAGCACCGGCUAACUACGUGCCAGCAGCCGCGGUAAUACGUAGGGUGCGAGCGUUAAUCGGAAUUACUGGGCGUAAAGCGUGCGCAGGCGGUUAUAUAAGACAGAUGUGAAAUCCCCGGGCUCAACCUGGGACCUGCAUUUGUGACUGUAUAGCUAGAGUACGGUAGAGGGGGAUGGAAUUCCGCGUGUAGCAGUGAAAUGCGUAGAUAUGCGGAGGAACACCGAUGGCGAAGGCAAUCCCCUGGACCUGUACUGACGCUCAUGCACGAAAGCGUGGGGAGCAAACAGGAUUAGAUACCCUGGUAGUCCACGCCCUAAACGAUGUCAACUGGUUGUUGGGUCUUCACUGACUCAGUAACGAAGCUAACGCGNGAGUAGACGCGNGGNGGUAACGGCGCGAGUUAGUAAGUUAAGUUAGAGUUGNGNGNGAGAGNGCGAGACGACGACGAGGAGGAGG
rnacentral:rRNA from 1 species